ACAUGCAAGUCGAACGCCCCGCAAGGGGAGUGGCAGACGGGUGAGUAACGCGUGGGAACAUACCCUUUCCUGCGGAAUAGCUCCGGGAAACUGGAAUUAAUACCGCAUACGCCCUACGGGGGAAAGAUUUAUCGGGGAAGGAUUGGCCCGCGUUGGAUUAGCUAGUUGGUGGGGUAAAGGCCUACCAAGGCGACGAUCCAUAGCUGGUCUGAGAGGAUGAUCAGCCACAUUGGGACUGAGACACGGCCCAAACUCCUACGGGAGGCAGCAGUGGGGAAUAUUGGACAAUGGGCGCAAGCCUGAUCCAGCCAUGCCGCG
rnacentral:rRNA from 1 species